UGAAUCUGGAAUGUGUGAUGCAGGGGUUAAGGGCCUGUGAUCACUAAACCACUACAUGUAAGUGAUUGGUUUGGCACUGCCCUAAUUUGGGUAGUCUGGAUGGGAUAAAAGGAGCAGAAAGACACUGUUAAGGUCUCUUAUUGCUUUUGCUACUUUCUGGCUGCCAUGAACUGUCUCUUCUCUGAAAGUCCUGGCUCCCAUGCCACUCUGCCUUGGAGCCAGCAGAUUGUUGACUGAAACCUCUGUGAAUUAUUAAAUAUCUUCACUUAUUUCAACCUUAAAAAAAAGAAAAGGAUUGCUUCUAAGCCACCAGCUCCUAUGCUCCCUGGUACCUCCACCAUGACCAUCCUCUUCAACAUAACCAGGACCAGUGUUACACUCUGUCCUCAGCAGAAUUCCAGGCACAGAACCUUCAAACUGCAUUCCAUAAUGGUUAUGCUUUACAUUCCCAUCAACAGAUUUGUGAUGUUUCCUUUUCUACAUCUUUGCCAGCACUUCACUUUUGUCUUUUUGAUAAGAGCCAUUCUAACAGACCAUUUUUCUGGAGAGAAGCUGAGCCGGUCCCAACACCCAGAAGGAAGCUCCACCGCCACCAUGCCAUCCCAAGCUCCUAGGGCAGAGAAGGUGAGCCAGUCCCAGCACCCGGAAGGAAGCUCCCCUGCCGCCAUCCCGAGCUCCUAGGGCAGAGAAGGUGAGCCGCAUGGGCACCAGAAGCACUCACCCACUGUGGAAAUGAGAAGACAUGUAAACAAGCCUCAAAAACAGACUUCUGGAUCACCUACAGCAACCCCAAAGGGAAACAAGAUGGAACAAUCUGAUAUUCAACCACCUGAACUUUCUGAACUGGCAACAAAAGAGGAUCUGGGAAAAAUGAAAUCAGAAAUAAUUACUCAGAUAACAGCAAAGAUUUUGCUCAUGGUGCGUGACAUGAUUAAUAAAUAUAGAGAGGACACAGAGAAAAAAAUAGAGGCUCUGUGGAACAUGAUGGAAUCCCAACAUAGGAAACAAAUGGAAUCCAUAAAACAGAUGCAAAUAGAUUUCCAGGAGAUUAAAAACUCCAUCAAAAGUCUGCACAGCAGAAUGAACCAAUGUGAGGAUAGAAUUUCACAUAUAGAAGAUAAGAUUGCAAACAGUGAGGAGGAAAAGAAAAAUUGCUUUAAAAUUGUAAGGGAACACGAGAAAUCAAUCCAGCAGCUGCUUGAAGAUGCAAAGAAGAAUAACAUAACACUGAUUGGAGUCAAUGAAGAAACAGGAGAGUGCAGAUGGCAUAAAAAAAGUGUUCACAGAAGUGAUGGCAGAAAACUUGCCAAGCAGGGGAAAAGAACUUGACAUACAGAUAAGUGAGGCGUAUAGGACUCCAAAUAGCCUUGAUCAAAAUAAAUCUACACCUAGGCAUAUAAUAGUUAGGAUUCCAGAAAUCCAACAGAAGAACAAAAUUCUACAAGCAGUGAGAGAAAAGAAACAAGUCACAUACAAAGGAAAGCCCAUCAGAAUCACAGCAGACUUCUCAAUGCAAACCUUCAAGGCAAGAAGAGCUUGGAGUGAUGUAUUUCAAGCCCUAAAGGAAAACAGCCUCCAACCCAGAUUGUUGUACCCUGCAAAACUAUCUUUCAAAAUUGAUGGAGAAAUAAGAUACUUUCAUGAUAAACAGCACCUCAGGAACUUCAUGAAUAUCAAACCUGCACUCCAAAAGAUUUUAGACAAUACCCUAGGAAAAGACAAUGAGGAUCACAACCCCAGGAAACCCAGCAGAAUGAAUCCAUUGGGUGUGACAAAUUAAAUGCAAAGGGGGAGAAUCCAACAAAAAGAAAAAGUCAUGACAAGGCUUUUAAAACUUUUAACUUCAUCUCCCUAAUGAGUGUAUAAUUCAAUCUUGUUAUUGUACUGAUUAAUAUUUUUCUGAUUCUAGAGUUGCACACCUUUCCAUGUGCUAUACUGGCUAUUUAUCAUCUUCUUAUGUCUACUUUUUAAUUGUGUUGUCUAUUAAUGAGCUCUAAGAAUUCUUUAUAUAUUCUGGUCAUAGAUUAUAUGCAUUGUAAAUAUGGUCUGUUUAAGGACUACUUUUCAUUUUAAUGAUGUCAUUUACAGUUCUAAAUUUUGAUGGAAUCUCAUUGAUCAAUUGUUUUCUUUUAUACAUCAUGUUUUUUGUAUCCUAGGUAGUUCUUGCCUACCCUGAAUUCAUAAACAUUUUCCCUUAUAAUUUCUUCUUAAAAUUUUAUACUUUUAGGCUUUCUUAUUUAGGUUCAUAGAUCCCUUCAAGUUAUUUUCAUGUAUGGAACUAAGGGGUUGAGGUUAAUUUUUUAUAUAUGGAUACCACGUGUUCUAGUGCCAUUUGCUGAAAACACUAUCUCUUCCUCGGCUCUUGAAUUUAUAUUCUACAAAAUGCUCAUGUUAAAUAAUCUUUCAAAACUCAGUGGACCAUAUAUGUGUGGUUCUAUUUCUAGAUUCUCUGUUUUAUUCCAAUGAUCUAUAUGUCUUUCCUUACACCAACACUGUCUUGAUUACUGUAGCUUUAGAAGAAGUCUUAAAAUUAGGUACUAAACAUCUUCCAACACUGUUGUGUUUUUUUUUUUAACUUUUCUAGGUCCUUUGUACUCCUACAUAACUUUUAAAUUUCAAUAUCCAGUUCUUCAUUGAUAGCAAGUAUACACAGACCUGAAUUUUUAUAUAUAACUUGUGUUUUCUAAUCCUGCUAAAUUCAAAUACAAGUUCUAGGGGCUCCUAGAGAUUUCUUAGUAUUUUCUCUGCAGAUGAUCAUUUCAUCUACAUAUAAAGAUUUUGCUUCUACCUUGCCAAUCUUAUCCUAAUUGUGUCAUUUUAUUUCCAGACUAUUUUGAUGGGGCCUAGGUUUCAAAGUUUAAUGGACAGAUAAAGAGUAAGCAUAUCUGCCCUUGUUCCCCACCUUAAGGAGAAAGCAUUGUAUCUUCUCCAUUCAUAUAAGGUGUUCUCGCUGAAAGUAUGGAGUACAUGUCUUUAAUCUGUUGAGAAGGUUCUGUUCUACUUCUAGUCUCCUGAUAGCUUUUACCAUGAACAGCUGUAGAAUUUAGUCCAAUACUUUUUCUCCAACUAGUGACAGGAUCAUAUGGCUUUUUCCUUUCCUCUGUUAAAAUGAUGACUUUUGGAGGUGGAUCUUCC
rnacentral:lncRNA from 1 species